AAACUGAGAAACACUCGCCUAACCCUAAUCUACAUUCCUCACUUAUCCAAUUUGUUUCUCUCUCAUCUCUAUACUCUCUCUCACCCAUACACAACAACCCACGACACCGCAAUUUGUUGCUCUUGCUCUGUUAAUUCAUUUGUCUUCCACUUUAAUAACAAAAUAAUUGAUUAUGUUGAUGUUGAUUCUUUAUUGGAGGGUUGUGUUAUAUCUUUU
rnacentral:lncRNA from 1 species